rnacentral:rRNA from 1 species
UGGCAGCAGCAAGGAAUAUUGGGCAAUGGGCGAAAGCCUGACCCAGCGACGCCGCGUGGGUGAAGAAGGCCUUCGGGUCGUAAACCCCUUUUCUCAGGGAAGAAUAAUGACGGUACCUGGGGAAUAAGCCUCGGCUAACUACGUGCCAGCAGCCGCGGUAAUACGUAGGAGGCAAGCGUUAUCCGGAUUUACUGGGCGUAAAGAGGGCGUAGGCGGCUCUUCAAGUCGGAUGUUAAAUCUCCCGGCUUAACUGGGAGGGAUCAUCCGAAACUGUUGGGCUCGAGGACAGCAGAGGGAGGUGGAAUUCCCGGUGUAGUGGUGAAAUGCGUAGAUAUCGGGAGGAACACCAGUGGCGAAGGCGGCCUUCUGGGCUGUUUCUGACGCUGAGGCCCGAAAGCGUGGGGAGCAAACAGGAUUAGAUACCCGAGUAGUC